GAGCCCCGAUGAAGCCGGAGCGGCCCCAGCCCGAUGGAGGCGCCUCCGUGGGAGCCGGUGCGCAAUGACUCGCUGCCGCCCACGCUGAGCCCGGCUGCACCGCCCUAUGUGAAGCUCGGCCUCACCGCGGUCUACACCGCCUUCUACGCGCUCCUCUUCGUGUUCAUCUACGCGCAGCUCUGGCUGGUGCUGCGCUACCGCCACAAGCGGCUCAGCUACCAGAGUGUCUUCCUCUUCCUCUGCCUCUUCUGGGCCUCGCUGCGUACUGUGCUCUUCUCCUUUUACUUCCGAGACUUCGUGGCGGCCAACUCGUUUAGCCCCUUCGUCUUCUGGCUACUCUACUGCUUCCCCGUGUGUCUGCAAUUCUUCACCCUCACGCUCAUGAACUUAUACUUCACGCAGGUGAUUUUCAAAGCCAAGUCAAAAUAUUCUCCAGAAUUACUCAAGUAUCGGCUACCUCUCUAUCUGGCCUCACUUUUCAUUAGCCUUGUUUUCCUGCUGGUGAAUCUGACCUGCGCUGUGCUGGUGAAGACGGGAACCUGGGAAAGGAAGGUGAUCGUCUCUGUGAGAGUGGCCAUCAAUGACACACUCUUCGUGCUGUGUGCCAUCUCUCUCUCCAUCUGCCUCUACAAAAUCUCCAAGAUGUCCCUGGCCAACAUCUACCUGGAGUCAAAGGGCUCAUCAGUAUGUCAGGUAACUGCUAUCGGUGUCACCGUCAUCUUGCUCUACACCUCUCGGGCCUGCUACAACCUGUUCAUCUUGUCAUUUUCUCAGAUGAAGAAUGUCCACUCCUUUGAUUAUGACUGGUACAAUGUAUCAGAUCAGGCAGAUCUGAAGAGCCAGCUGGGUGAUGCCGGCUAUGUAGUGUUCGGCGUGGUGCUCUUCGUGUGGGAGCUCCUACCCACCACCUUGGUGGUUUACUUCUUCCGAGUCAGAAACCCCACGAAGGACCUUAGCAACCCUGGGAUGGUCCCCAGCCAUGGAUUCAGUCCCAGAUCUUACUUCUUUGACAACCCCCGAAGAUACGACAGUGAUGAUGAUCUUGCCUGGAACAUUGCUCCUCAGGGACUUCAGGGAAGGACUUCUCCGAGCCCACCCAGAGAGGGCCAGGGCAUUUGCUGUUCGAAUCACUCAGUGGAACGUGAUCUGGGACAUCCAGGCAGACACCUCGGAUCCUCUUCUAAAGCCAGAGAAUACACGAACAAUAAUCACUAGUGUGAAUAUACUAUAAGAACCAAAAUUUGAAAUCUGUCAUUCUUAAAGUUAUUUACUAAGAUACUCACAAAUGUCACCUCAUUCAGUGUUUGCUACAACCCUAUGAGUUUUGCUCCAGACUACUAUGAUUGGGGACAACAAAGUAACAGCUCCCUGGCACAAGCAGGACUUUUGCAACAAGACUCCACUUUGGAUCCAGACAAAGCAAGCCAAGGGUAGCACCAGCUGACUGUCCUAAGGAAGAGUCCUCUGUUGAAAACCUUCAGCCAGACAGACUGGAUGACAGCUGAGUUUUUAGGCACUUUUCCUCAUGAAACGGGACUUCAGUUUUUUGCUAUAGCUUUCUCAUGGCUAGAUAGGACUGAGCGAUAAACCCUCACUUUAGUACUAGCAAAGAGCCUGGCUAUUUCAGUGGGUAUAAUUUAAAAUUUUAAAAGAGAUUCUGUACUUUUAUAAAGAUGUAUUUUAUAUAACUUAAAUACUAAUACUAAAGUAUGCUAGGUUUUUCCUUGAUUGUUAUUGCGAUGUAUGUUGUAGUUUGCACAGAUUUUCAUGCAUAAUUCACUUUAAAACGUAUAGCAUACGUGGUCUAAUAGUUUAAAGCUUUUGGACAAAAAGUUUCUUCAAUCCUUACCUCUGAAGGUCACUGAAGGUCACUGUGAUUGUGAGCACCACAUUGGUGGACUCCUAUAGCUGCCACUCCAGUGUUGAAGGUUAACAGGAAGCAGCGAACUACGGUGUGUACAUGACUGCCUCCACAGUAGCCAUUUUGUAUAGUUUUCUUCAGCCCAGUGUAACUGAAUACUCACUACCUCAGAAGGAUGGCAAGACUGCCUUCCCUGAUUCAGCCAGUGCUCACUAUAGUCAACCAACAGGUCCCUACUGAGUGUCAACAAUAAAUAUUUCUGGCCCUUGAGCUAAAGGGCUGUGGAUUCCUGACA